rnacentral:rRNA from 1 species
GACGAACGCUGGCGGCGUGCUUAACACAUGCAAGUCGAACGGAAAGGCCCUGCAUUUGUGGGGUGCUCGAGUGGCGAACGGGUGAGUAGCACGUGAGUAACCUGCCCUUGACUUUGGGAUAACUUCAGGAAACUGGGGCUAAUACCGGAUAGGAGCUCCUGCUGCAUGGUGGGGGUUGGAAAGUUUCGGCGGUUGGGGAUGGACUCGCGGCUUAUCAGCUUGUUGGUGGGGUAGUGGCUUACCAAGGCUUUGACGGGUAGCCGGCCUGAGAGGGUGACCGGCCACAUUGGGACUGAGAUACGGCCCAGACUCCUACGGGAGGCAGCAGUGGGGAAUAUUGCACAAUGGGCGGAAGCCUGAUGCAGCAACGCCGCGUGCGGGAUGACGGCCGUCGGGUUGUAAACCGCUUUCGCCUGUGACGAAGCGUGAGUGACGGUAAUGGGUAAAGAAGCACCGGCUAACUACGUG